rnacentral:rRNA from 1 species
UGAAAGGCGCUUUUGCGUCACUGAUGGAUGGACCCGCGGUGCAUUAGCUAGUUGGUGAGGUAACGGCUCACCAAGGCAACGAUGCAUAGCCGACCUGAGAGGGUGAUCGGCCACACUGGGACUGAGACACGGCCCAGACUCCUACGGGAGGCAGCAGUAGGGAAUCUUCGGCAAUGGACGAAAGUCUGACCGAGCAACGCCGCGUGAGUGAAGAAGGUUUUCGGAUCGUAAAACUCUGUUGUUAGAGAAGAACAAGGAUGAGAGUAAAAUGUUCAUCCCUUGACGGUAUCUAACCAGAAAGCCACGGCUAACUACGUGCCAGCAGCCGCGGUAAUACGUAGGUGGCAAGCGUUGUCCGGAUUUAUUGGGCGUAAAGCGAGCGCAGGCGGUUUCUUAAGUCUGAUGUGAAAGCCCCCGGCUCAACCGGGGAGGGUCAUUGGAAACUGGGAGACUUGAGUGCAGAAGAGGAGAGUGGAAUUCCAUGUGUAGCGGUGAAAUGCGUAGAUAUAUGGAGGAACACCAGUGGCGAAGGCGGCUCUCUGGUCUGUAACUGACGCUGAGGCUCGAAAGCGUGGGGAGCGAACAGGAUUAGAUACCCUGGUAGUCCACGCCGUAAACGAUGAGUGCUAAGUGUUGGAGGGUUUCCGCCCUUCAGUGCUGCAGCAAACGCAUUAAGCACUCCGCCUGGGGAGUACGACCGCAAGGUUGAAACUCAAAGGAAUUGACGGGGGCCCGCACAAGCGGUGGAGCAUGUGGUUAUUCGAGCACGCGAAGAACCUUACCAGGUCUUGACAUCCUUUGACCACUCUAGAGAUAGAGCUUCCCCUUCGGGGGCAAAGUGACAGGUGGUGCAUGGUUGUCGUCAGCUCGUGUCGUGAGAUGUUGGGUUAAGUCCCGCAACGAGCGCAACCCUUAUUGUUAGUUGCCAUCAUUUAGUUGGGCACUCUAGCGAGACUGCCGGUGACAAACCGGAGGAAGGUGGGGAUGACGUCAAAUCAUCAUGCCCCUUAUGACCUGGGCUACACACGUGCUACAAUGGGAAGUACAACGAGUUGCGAAGUCGCGAGGCUAAGCUAAUCUCUUAAAGCUUCUCUCAGUUCGGAUUGUAGGCUGCAACUCGCCUACAUGAAGCCGGAAUCGCUAGUAAUCGCGGAUCAUCACGCCGCGGUGAAUACUUUCCCCGGGCCUUGUACACACCGCCCGU